rnacentral:rRNA from 1 species
UACGUAGGGGGCGAGCGUUGUUCGGAAUUACUGGGCGUAAAGGGCUCGUAGGCGGCCAACUAAGUCAGACGUGAAAUCCCUCGGCUUAACCGGGGAACUGCGUCUGAUACUGGAUGGCUUGAGUUUGGGAGAGGGAUGCGGAAUUCCAGGUGUAGCGGUGAAAUGCGUAGAUAUCUGGAGGAACACCGGUGGCGAAGGCGGCAUCCUGGACCAACACUGACGCUGAGGAGCGAAAGCCAGGGGAGCAAACGGG